rnacentral:rRNA from 1 species
UUAAGCGACUAAGCGUACACGGUGGAUGCCCUGGCAGUCAGAGGCGAUGAAGGACGUGCUAAUCUGCGAUAAGCGUCGGUAAGGUGAUAUGAACCGUUAUAACCGGCGAUUUCCGAAUGGGGAAACCCAGUGUGUUUCGACACACUAUCAUUAACUGAAUCCAUAGGUUAAUGAGGCGAACCGGGGGAACUGAAACAUCUAAGUACCCCGAGGAAAAGAAAUCAACCGAGAUUCCCCCAGUAGCGGCGAGCGAACGGGGAGGAGCCCAGAGCCUGAAUCAGUGUGUGUGUUAGUGGAAGCGUCUGGAAAGGCGCGCGAUACAGGGUGACAGCCCCGUACACAAAAAUGCACAUGCUGUGAGCUCGAUGAGUAGGGCGGGACACGUGGUAUCCUGUCUGAAUAUGGGGGGACCAUCCUCCAAGGCUAAAUACUCCUGACUGACCGAUAGUGAACCAGUACCGUGAGGGAAAGGCGAAAAGAACCCCGGCGAGGGGAGUGAAAAAGAACCUGAAACCGUGUACGUACAAGCAGUGGGAGCCUCUUUUAUGGGGUGACUGCGUACCUUUUGUAUAAUGGGUCAGCGACUUAUAUUCUGUAGCAAGGUUAACCGAAUAGGGGAGCCGAAGGGAAACCGAGUCUUAACUGGGCGUUAAGUUGCAGGGUAUAGACCCGAAACCCGGUGAUCUAGCCAUGGGCAGGUUGAAGGUUGGGUAACACUAACUGGAGGACCGAACCGACUAAUGUUGAAAAAUUAGCGGAUGACUUGUGGCUGGGGGUGAAAGGCCAAUCAAACCGGGAGAUAGCUGGUUCUCCCCGAAAGCUAUUUAGGUAGCGCCUCGUGAAUUCAUCUCCGGGGGUAGAGCACUGUUUCGGCAAGGGGGUCAUCCCGACUUACCAACCCGAUGCAAACUGCGAAUACCGGAGAAUGUUAUCACAGGAGACACACGGCGGGUGCUAACGUCCGUCGUGAAGAGGGAAACAACCCAGACCGCCAGCUAAGGUCCCAAAGUCAUGGUUAAGUGGGAAACGAUGUGGGAAGGCCCAGACAGCCAGGAUGUUGGCUUAGAAGCAGCCAUCAUUUAAAGAAAGCGUAAUAGCUCACUGGUCGAGUCGGCCUGCGCGGAAGAUGUAACGGGGCUAAACCAUGCACCGAAGCUGCGGCAGCGACGCUUAUGCGUUGUUGGGUAGGGGAGCGUUCUGUAAGCCUGCGAAGGUGUGCUGUGAGGCAUGCUGGAGGUAUCAGAAGUGCGAAUGCUGACAUAAGUAACGAUAAAGCGGGUGAAAAGCCCGCUCGCCGGAAGACCAAGGGUUCCUGUCCAACGUUAAUCGGGGCAGGGUGAGUCGACCCCUAAGGCGAGGCCGAAAGGCGUAGUCGAUGGGAAACAGGUUAAUAUUCCUGUACUUGGUGUUACUGCGAAGGGGGGACGGAGAAGGCUAUGUUGGCCGGGCGACGGUUGUCCCGGUUUAAGCGUGUAGGCUGGUUUUCCAGGCAAAUCCGGAAAAUCAAGGCUGAGGCGUGAUGACGAGGCACUACGGUGCUGAAGCAACAAAUGCCCUGCUUCCAGGAAAAGCCUCUAAGCAUCAGGUAACAUCAAAUCGUACCCCAAACCGACACAGGUGGUCAGGUAGAGAAUACCAAGGCGCUUGAGAGAACUCGGGUGAAGGAACUAGGCAAAAUGGUGCCGUAACUUCGGGAGAAGGCACGCUGAUAUGUAGGUGAAGUCCCUCGCGGAUGGAGCUGAAAUCAGUCGAAGAUACCAGCUGGCUGCAACUGUUUAUUAAAAACACAGCACUGUGCAAACACGAAAGUGGACGUAUACGGUGUGACGCCUGCCCGGUGCCGGAAGGUUAAUUGAUGGGGUUAGCGCAAGCGAAGCUCUUGAUCGAAGCCCCGGUAAACGGCGGCCGUAACUAUAACGGUCCUAAGGUAGCGAAAUUCCUUGUCGGGUAAGUUCCGACCUGCACGAAUGGCGUAAUGAUGGCCAGGCUGUCUCCACCCGAGACUCAGUGAAAUUGAACUCGCUGUGAAGAUGCAGUGUACCCGCGGCAAGACGGAAAGACCCCGUGAACCUUUACUAUAGCUUGACACUGAACAUUGAGCCUUGAUGUGUAGGAUAGGUGGGAGGCUUUGAAGUGUGGACGCCAGUCUGCAUGGAGCCGACCUUGAAAUACCACCCUUUAAUGUUUGAUGUUCUAACGUGGACCCGUAAUCCGGGUUGCGGACAGUGUCUGGUGGGUAGUUUGACUGGGGCGGUCUCCUCCUAAAGAGUAACGGAGGAGCACGAAGGUUGGCUAAUCCUGGUCGGACAUCAGGAGGUUAGUGCAAUGGCAUAAGCCAGCUUGACUGCGAGCGUGACGGCGCGAGCAGGUGCGAAAGCAGGUCAUAGUGAUCCGGUGGUUCUGAAUGGAAGGGCCAUCGCUCAACGGAUAAAAGGUACUCCGGGGAUAACAGGCUGAUACCGCCCAAGAGUUCAUAUCGACGGCGGUGUUUGGCACCUCGAUGUCGGCUCAUCACAUCCUGGGGCUGAAGUAGGUCCCAAGGGUAUGGCUGUUCGCCAUUUAAAGUGGUACGCGAGCUGGGUUUAGAACGUCGUGAGACAGUUCGGUCCCUAUCUGCCGUGGGCGCUGGAGAACUGAGGGGGGCUGCUCCUAGUACGAGAGGACCGGAGUGGACGCAUCACUGGUGUUCGGGUUGUCAUGCCAAUGGCACUGCCCGGUAGCUAAAUGCGGAAGAGAUAAGUGCUGAAAGCAUCUAAGCACGAAACUUGCCCCGAGAUGAGUUCUCCCUGACUCCUUGAGAGUCCUGAAGGAACGUUGAAGACGACGACGUUGAUAGGCCGGGUGUGUAAGCGCAGCGAUGCGUUGAGCUAACCGGUACUAAUGAACCGUGAGGCUUAACCUU